AGUGAACGCUGGCGGUAGGCCUAACACAUGCAAGUCGAACGGCAGCACAGAGGAGCUCGCUCCUUGGGUGGCGAGUGGCGGACGGGUGAGGAAUACAUCGGAAUCUACUCUGUCGUGGGGGAUAACGUAGGGAAACUUACGCUAAUACCGCAUACGACCUACGGGUGAAAGCAGGGGAUCUUCGGACCUUGCGCGAUUGAAUGAGCCGAUGUCGGAUUAGCUAGUUGGCGGGGUAAAGGCCCACCAAGGCGACGAUCCGUAGCUGGUCUGAGAGGAUGAUCAGCCACACUGGAACUGAGACACGGUCCAGACUCCUACGGGAGGCAGCAGUGGGGAAUAUUGGACAAUGGGCGCAAGCCUGAUCCAGCCAUACCGCGCGGGUGAAGAAGGCCUUCGGGUUGUAAAGCCCUUUUGUUGGGAAAGAAAUCCAUCUGGUUAAUACCCGGGUGGGAUGACGGUACCCAAAGAAUAAGCACCGGCUAACUUCGUGCCAGCAGCCGCCGUAA
rnacentral:rRNA from 1 species